GACGAACGCUGGCGGCGUGCUUAACACAUGCAAGUCGAACGGUGAAACCGGAGCUUGCUCCGCUGGAUCAGUGGCGAACGGGUGAGUAACACGUGGGCAACCUGCCCCUCACUUCGGGAUAACCCCCGGCAACCGGGGCCAAUACCGGCUAUGACCUCCCUCGGCAGCCUUGGAGGUGGAAAGGUUUGCGGUGAGGGAGGGGCCCGCGGCCUGUGAGCUGGUUGGUGAGGUCGUGGCUCACCAAGGCGCCGACGGGUAGCCGGGCCGAGAGGGCGACGGGCGACACUGGGUAGGGGACACGGCCCAGACUCCUACGGGAGGCAGCAGUGGGGAAUAUUGCGCAAUGGGCGAAAGCCUGACGCAGCAACGCCGCGUGCGGGAUGACGGCCUUCGGGUUGUAAACCGCUUUCAGCAGGGAAGAAGCCGCAAGGUGACGGUACCUGCAGAAGAAGCACCGGCUAACUACGUGCCAGCCGCCGCCGUAA
rnacentral:rRNA from 1 species